AACGAACGCUGGCGGCAUGCCUAACACAUGCAAGUCGAACGAGGCCUUCGGGUCUAGUGGCGCACGGGUGCGUAACGCGUGGGAACCUGCCCUUAGGUUCGGAAUAACUCCCCGAAAGGGGUGCUAAUACCGGAUAAUGUCUUCGGACCAAAGAUUUAUCGCCUUUGGAUGGGCCCGCGUUGGAUUAGCUAGUUGGUAGGGUAAAAGCCUACCAAGGCGACGAUCCAUAGCUGGUCUGAGAGGAUGAUCAGCCACACUGGGACUGAGACACGGCCCAGACUCCUACGGGAGGCAGCAGUGGGGAAUAUUGGACAAUGGGCGAAAGCCUGAUCCGGCAAUGCCGCGUGAGUGAUGAAGGCCUUAGGGUUGUAAAGCUCUUUUACCCGGGAUGAUAAUGACAGUACCGGGAGAAUAAGCUCCGGCUAACUCCGU
rnacentral:rRNA from 1 species